GUUUCUGGAGGUCAGAUCCAGCCUGCCUGGCGGGAAUGCUGCCCGUUAUUUCUUCUUCACAUCGAGGCCAGCCAGCUGUAAAAAUCUAAACCAGUAUUUCCAGAUAGCUUGGGCCGAGAUGAAACUUCCGGGCUGCCCCACAUUUACCGACGUGCGUUCAUCAAUCGCAACCCACAUUAAGCAUGCUCACACCGGCGAUCUCAGAGCGAAGCUCUCUGAUUUCAUGGCCCAUGACACCGGUACUUCUGACCGGUAUUACGCAAUGAACUUAACCGCAAGUCAAGCAAUGUCGUACCGGCACUGGUUCGAACAGGCCCUGUGUGCAAGUCCCGGUGAUAAUCAAACGGAUGGCCGUCCUCCAUCGG